rnacentral:rRNA from 1 species
AGAGUUUGAUCAUGGCUCAGAGCGAACGCUGGCGGCAGGCCUAACACAUGCAAGUCGAGCGCCGUAGCAAUACGGAGCGGCAGACGGGAGAGUAACACGUGGGAACGUACCCUUCAGUUCGGAACAACCAAGGGAAACUUUGGCUAAUACCGGAUACGUCCGUAAGGAGAAAGAUUUAUCGCUGAAGGAUCGGCCCGCGUCUGAUUAGCUAGUUGGUGAGGUAACGGCUCACCAAGGCGACGAUCAGUAGCUGGUCUGAGAGGAUGAUCAGCCACAUUGGGACUGAGACACGGCCCAAACUCCUACGGGAGGCAGCAGUGGGGAAUAUUGGACAAUGGGCGCAAGCCUGAUCCAGCCAUGCCGCGUGAGUGAUGAAGGCCCUAGGGUUGUAAAGCUCUUUUGUGCGGGAAGAUAAUGACGGUACCGCAAGAAUAAGCCCCGGCUAACUUCGUGCCAGCAGCCGCGGUAAUACGAAGGGGGCUAGCGUUGCUCGGAAUCACUGGGCGUAAAGGGUGCGUAGGCGGGUCUUUAAGUCAGGGGUGAAAUCCUGGAGCUCAACUCCAGAACUGCCUUUGAUACUGAAGAUCUUGAGUUCGGGAGAGGUGAGUGGAACUGCGAGUGUAGAGGUGAAAUUCGUAGAUAUUCGCAAGAACACCAGUGGCGAAGGCGGCUCACUGGCCCGAUACUGACGCUGAGGCACGAAAGCGUGGGGAGCAAACAGGAUUAGAUACCCUAGUAGUCC